CAAGCCAAAGUUUUAAUACAAGAAAGCCGAAGUAUAUAUUUUAUUCGAUACAAACUUUUUUUUUUUGAGGAUCCAUUGUAAUAAUGAGAAAGAUUUCUGCAUAUUCGCAAAAAUCGGUCAAUAAUAUCAAAAUCGGAUGAAUCGGCCCAGACCGGCUUACUAAUAGGAUGCCCUAAUACAUUACAAAAUUUCGCUUUAGCCAACGAUCUAAUAAGAGGAAUAAUUGGAACUAUUAUAUCGAGUUUUUUGUUAAAAAUUUCGAUUAAAAAUGUAUUUUGCAGCAUUUGACUCCGUACCACUGAACGAUUUACCCGCACAUUUAAAAAAUAGCCUAAAAGCUGAAAUGAAUGUUCGGAUAAUUGGUUUAUAUUCAUCGUUCUUGGUUGAGACCAAACAUAAAAAAAAACCUUGCCAUAAAUGAAUAAAAUAAUGUUUCCAUUUAUUCAUCAAAAAAGGCGAAUUCUUUGAAGCCAGAAUGUAUUUUCCUUGAUAUCUAACAUAAUGAAUGAGAGGAUCCUUGAAGAAUGUUAAAGUAUACGAAAAAUCCUUAGCAAAAACUUCUACAAGAUGUUCUCUUUUUGCAUAACAAAAAAUUCGUUCAAAAAAAACGUUAAAAGAUUUUAAUCGUAAAUGAGAGGAUUUAUUACGUAGAAAAAGGAAGAUAGAUUCAUAUUCACAUACAUAAAAAUUAUAGAGGAACAAGAAUAAUCUCGGAUUACUUUUUGAAAAAGUAGAAAUAGAGUUUUUGGUAGUAAUAAAACUAUUCCAAUUACUAAAAUUAUAAAGAAACAAUCGUAAUAAAUGAAAAAAAGGGGCAUCUUUCACCCAGUAUCGAAGGAUUUGAACUAAAAUUUCCAGAUGGAUAGGAUAUGGUAUUCGUAUAUCUGACACAUAAUUGAAAUAUGUAAAUUUAUCCUCCAAAAAGGGAAAAAUGGAAUGAAUUGAUCUCAAAUUUUUAUAAGAUUUUAUGAUUUCUGCCUCCUCUAAGGAAGAGCUUAAUUCUAGGAAAAAUGGAAUUUCCCCCACGAUGGCAAAACCCUCUGAUAUUAUUUGAGAAUAAAAAUUAUUAUUAUAGCCCCAAAAUGGAUUUUUGUUAGAAUCAUUAGCCGAAAUGAUUAAAUGAUUCUGUUGAUACAUUCGAGUAAUUAAACGUUUUACAAUUAGUAAACUAUAUUUACUGUCAGAACCUACAUUUUCCAGAAAAAUGGAUCUAUUAAAAUUAUGACUAUAAGCAAGUCCAUAAAUAUACUCCCGAAAAAUAAGUGGGUAUAGGAAGUCCUGUUGGCGAGAUCUAGCUCGUUCUAAAUAUACUUGAUAUUCCUUCAUUUUAGAAAUUCUAUUUGGUCAAAGGAUCAGAGAUUCAUUGGAUUAUCAAAUGAUACAUAGUGCGAUACAGUCAAAACAAGGUAUUCUAUAUAUAUAUUAGAAUUGAAAAAAAAAAACAAAUAUAUGAAUAGAUACCUAGAAAACAAGUUAAAACCCAUUAAUGGACUAUCUCCGCUCGCUUGUUCCAUCUAAUUGUUCUAGGACAACAAGCUCGUUAGAAAUCCUUUAUUUUUUGGACCAAUCGCUCUUUUGAUUUUGGAAAAAAAUAUCUUUAUCAAUAUACUCUUUCUUCUACACAUUUAUUGCUACCCCAUAACAUAAUGGAGAAUAGCUAAUAAUUAGGACUCAUAACAAAAAUCCUUAAUCCAUUCGUUGGAAAAACUUUUUCCACAGCAAGCACUAAUCCUUUUUUAACGUAUAAUUAGAUGUGGUAAUCAUUCAAAUAAAAAAUGAAAGCUCGUUGCUUUUUGUUUCCCUAUAAUUGGAGCAUCUAAGCUCUAUCCUUUUAUUAAUUAAACCCAACUGAAUUCAUUUGUUCCGAGCCAACAAUUCAAACGAAAAUUUGGGCCGGGUCCAAUAAAAAAUUUUAGAAUUCACCAUUGAUACGACAUGCUGCUUUUUCCAUUCAUUCCUUUCUGGAUCAGUCGUGGUCUUACAAACCCUACCGAUGGUAUGGAUGAACCAAUUAGUUCAUAGAAAUGUGUAAAAAAUGGAGUCGCACUUAAAAGCCGAGUACUCUACCAUUGAGUUAGCAACCCUAAAAAAAAAAAAUAGAAGGAUGUGUAUAUCCAAUCGAAAUAAAAAAAAGAUAGAAGGAUGUUUAUAUCCAAUCGAAAUAAAAAAAAGAUAGAAUUCUUUCAUAUUAAAAAAAGGUUGCAUAUUACAUUAAAUUACAAUGAAAAAACUUCUUGUUUGAUACAAACUAAAUACAACAAUCCAUUAUUUGUAUUUGACGAAGUAAAAAUAAAUCUAUGUAACAUGAGUCAAUCCAUCCUUUUAUUCACGAUCGUAUUAUAUUUGUUUGAUACACUGUUGUCAAUGUUGAAAAAAAAAAAAAUACAAUAGAGAAAACAAAUAUAAAAAUAUUUCUAUUCUAAUUUUUUUUUUUAAUCUAACUUAUUUCUAUUUAAUUCAUUCAUUCUAUUAUAUUAUGAUAUUCAAUUAGAAUGCUAUA
rnacentral:lncRNA from 1 species